UUUCAAUGAUGUCAAUAAUUGAUGACGAGUCUGAUAAUCCAUUCAUAACCAUGAUGUGAUUUGAGGCAUUUGUCUGAGAGAG